ACCAAUAUUACAGUCGGUAAAAUACCGGUAAUUUCCAGCCGUAACCGGGAAUUUACCGAACGUUGUAUAGGCAAAUAAAAAUGUAAAAACCUGUUGAAUUACCCAUCUAUGUCUUCGUACUUACAAAAAAAAACAAUUACUACGGUUUACGAUUACGAAGAGACACUUAAAAUACUUACUUUUCUGCAUCUUAUGAUCUCGUCUGAGUAGGAACUAUUUAGGAAGCAAUGUUUUGUGACAAAUGAGUGGUCGCUAAUCCCUCGCCCUUUCCCUUCUCGCCACCCCUACCCGACCCGCCUUACUAUAUAUUUAACAAACGCAAUUAUUUUAUAUAUAAUUAACAGAAUGAUCUGAUGAUGACAUGUUCCUGAUUCCAACUCCUAUCUUAAGAGCCCGGUAACGAUUUUAGAGCAAAAAUUUUAAAUUGAUAGAUUUAGUCGUUGGAAUUGUACACCUUUUGUUACGUAAUAUCUAAAUAACAAGUAUUGGUUUCUAUUAGCACGUUUUUUCAUCUUGCCUUUUAAUAAUGAGGUCGCAAGCGUGCUUCCCCGGUAAUAGGUGACGAGAAGGGAUAUAUUUUUUAAAUUCAUAUAAAUUAUGGUAGUAAAUUAUACAAAAUGAUGUAUAAGAACAGUUUCAGCAAAUGUUGUAGAUUGUUUAAGUAUCAAAAUUACGUUGAAAUUAAGUCAAUUUUCAGAGAAAUUGUCACUUGUUUUGAAGUAAUUUCUGGAGAAAAUUGAUUUCGUCUAACUUUCAUUUACACUACUUCAAAUUUAUAGUAACAAAAAUGUAGUUUAUUAAAGUUGAAGUACAGGAUAUGUGUAAUACAAAAUUACCAUUUUUAGCAAUCCAAACUUAACGAAAUUUACAAAUAAGAUCGACAAAAUCACUGCUUUUCGCGCGUUUACCUAAACGUCCAUCAGAAAAAAAAACAUUACUAAUUAAGUGAGUCUGUUUAAAAAAAAUAUAUUUAUUAUAAUGAAAGAUAACAAGACGUGCUAAAAAAAACCAGUACUUGUCAUUUUUAAUAGUUAACAAAAGGUGUACAAUUUCAUGCGCUUAAUCUAUCAAUUUGACAUUUUUGCGACUAAAAUCGAUAACGGCCUCUUAAAGUGCAAUUUUAAAGUAACUAGUGUUAAAAUGAUAUGAAAUUAAUCUUGCUGUUAAAUUUUUUUUUCUUAUAUUUACUAGAUUUUAAUGAAUGUUGAUUACGGUUUUAGUUACUUUAAUAACAAUAUUAUAUUGAUAGAUGUGUAAAUGCAAACUUGUAUGACAUUUAAAUGACGACUGUCACUCUUUAGUUAUAAUUUUUGUUACCCUUUGAUUACUGCGAUUUUUAAAGAAUUAAAAAAGUUUGAUGUUGCUUAUUUAAUGUACAAGUUCAUUUCGCUUUGAAAUGAUACAUGUUUGAUUUUUUAUUUAAUAUGAUUAGUAAAUAUAUCUUGUUUAAUG